AUUGAACGCUGGCGGCAGGCCUAACACAUGCAAGUCGAGCGGAUGAAGGGAGCUUGCUCCUGGAUUCAGCGGCGGACGGGUGAGUAAUGCCUAGGAAUCUGCCUGGUAGUGGGGGAUAACGUCCGGAAACGGGCGCUAAUACCGCAUACGUCCUGAGGGAGAAAGUGGGGGAUCUUCGGACCUCACGCUAUCAGAUGAGCCUAGGUCGGAUUAGCUAGUUGGUGGGGUAAAGGCCUACCAAGGCGACGAUCCGUAACUGGUCUGAGAGGAUGAUCAGUCACACUGGAACUGAGACACGGUCCAGACUCCGACGGGAAGCAGCAGUGGGGAAUAUUGGACAAUGGGCGAAAGCCUGAUCCAGCCAUGCCGCGUGUGUGAAGAAGGUCUUCGGAUUGUAAAGCACUUUAAGUUGGGAGGAAGGGCAGUAAGUUAAUACCUUGCUGUUUUGACGUUACCAACAGAAUAAGCACCGGCUAACUUCGUG
rnacentral:rRNA from 1 species